rnacentral:tRNA from 1 species
GUAAAUAUAGUUUAACAAAAACACUAGAUUGUGGAUCUAGAAACAGAAACUUAAU